rnacentral:rRNA from 1 species
GGAAAACUUACCAGGUCCGGACAUAGUGAGGAUUGACAGAUUGAAGAUCUUUCUUGAUUCUAUGGGUGGGGGUGCAUGGCCGUUCUUAGUUGGUGGAGUGAUUUGUCUGGUUAAUUCCGUUAACGAACGAGACCUCGACCUGCUAAAUAGUUCGGCAAAUUCUUCGGGAUUUGUACGUGACUUCUUAGAGGGACUAUCGGUGGUUAGCCGAUGGAAGUUCGAGGCAAUAA